rnacentral:rRNA from 1 species
GAACGUUGGCGGCGUGGAUUAGGCAUGCAAGUCGUGCGGCAGCAGGCCCUUCGGGGUGCUGGCGAGCGGCGAAAGGGAGAGUAACGCGUGGGUAACCUACCUCUGGACCCGGGAUAGCAGCGGGAAACUGCUGGUAAUACCGGAUAAUGUCUCCGGACCAAAGGUGUGAUUCCGUCUAGAGAUGGGCCCGCGUCCUAUUAGCUUGUUGGUGGGGUAAUGGCCUACCAAGGCUUUGAUGGGUACCGGGUGUGAGAGCAUGGCCCGGCUCACUGGGACUGAGACACUGCCCAGACACCUACGGGUGGCUGCAGUCGAGAAUCUUCGGCAAUGGGCGCAAGCCUGACCGAGCGACGCCGCGUGCGGGAUGAAGGCCUUCGGGUUGUAAACCGCUGUCAGAGGGAAAGAAAUGCCAAAGGGUUCUCUCUUUGGUUUGACUGAUCCUCAGAGGAAGCACGGGCUAAGUUCGUGCCAGCAGCCGCGGUAACACGAACCGUGCAAACGUUAUUCGGAAUCACUGGGCUUAAAGAGUGCGUAGGCGGCUUAGCAGGUGGGGUGUGAAAUCCCUCAGCUCAACUGAGGAACUGCGCUCCAAACCGCUAGGCUUGAGGGAGAUAGAGGUGAGCGGAACUGAUGGUGGAGCGGUGAAAUGCGUUGAUAUCAUCAGGAACACCAGAGGCGAAGGCGGCUCACUGGGUCUUUUCUGACGCUGAGGCACGAAAGCUAGGGUAGCGAACGGGAUUAGAUACCCCGGUAGUCCUAGCUGU